ensembl:lncRNA
UGACAUGUUUUGUUUUCAUAGUAUUUGUUCUGUUCUUGUUCAGAGAUGGGUCCAACUCUAACACUGGAUGUGAAACUACGCUCUCCUCCCAAGGAGUCCAGCUCUGGACCCACACUCCACAAUAACUAAAAUAAUAAUACUGGUUUUUAAAAGAAUCCAAAGUACCAACCUCGGACAGGGGGGCAAUUUCUCCUUCUCCUUUGCAUACAAACCUGUGGAAGAUCCAUCCUGCUACCAACAUGAUAAACUGAGGCUGUUUAAAAUUGGUACCGAGUAGAUGCAAAUCUAUAUUUUCAGAUUUUUGUAAUGACAGAAUUUCCUAUGUAAAAAUAACAUUUCCAACAGUUUGCUUCCAAAGGCAAGACAGGGAUUCUAUUGGAGUUAUACACAUGAUAGUUUAAGAGCCAAACUGUGCAUCGUCUUACCCAGACAAAACUCCCAUUGCCUUCAAUAAAAACUUUGCCUGAGUAAAGAAUGCA